rnacentral:lncRNA from 1 species
ACUGGGGGAAAGUCUGACUCCUGAGAUCCUUGUUGCUCUUGACAAAAAUUGCAAACUCUUUCCAUUCCGGUUUUUAUUCAUAAUCCUCAUACACGGAACCAGCAUGUCAGUGCAUCCAGGGUCUUCCAGAGCCCCCUGGAAUCUGAUGUUUCUCUUCUCAGCAUUAACCAGGCAGUCAGCUGUCUGACUGCAGGCGUAUUGAACCCUGAGCUUGGCUAUGAUGCCCUUUUAGUGGGGACACAGACUAAUCUUUUGGCUUAUGAUGUCUACAAUAAUUCGGAUUUGUUCUACAGAGAGGUAGCAGAUGGGGCAAAUGCAAUUGUGCUGGGGACAUUGGGAGACAUUUCUUCCCCUCUUGCGAUUAUUGGUGGCAAUUGUGCUCUGCAAGGUUUCAAUCAUGAAGGAAGUGAUCUCUUUUGGACGGUUACUGGAGACAAUGUUAAUUCCUUGGCCUUGUGUGACUUUGAUGGUGAUGGAAAGAAAGAGCUUCUUGUUGGAUCUGAGGAUUUUGAUAUCCGAGUUUUUAAGGAAGAUGAGAUUGUGGCAGAAAUGACAGAAACAGAGAUAGUCACCUCUCUUUGUCCCAUGUAUGGCAGUCGAUUUGGUUAUGCCCUUUCCAAUGGCACAGUUGGAGUUUAUGACAAAACAUCCCGAUACUGGAGAAUUAAAGUUAGUAUAAUUUAGCCUUUGAUAUUCAGGCGCUUGAUAGUUAUUGUGAGACUUCUGUGCUAAUUAUUAAAAUUCUUUUUCAGUCGAAAAAUCAUGCCAUGAGCAUUCAUGCUUUUGACCUUAAUUCUGAUGGAGUGAAUGA